GACCCGAUACUUGCUCCUUGAUUCAUCAGGCGGACGGGUUGAGUUAAUGCCUAGGAAUCUGCCUGGUAGUGCGGGACAACGUUUCGAAAGGAACGCUAAUACCGCAUACGUCCUACGGGAGAAAGCAGGGGACCUUCGGGCCUUGCGCUAUCAGAUGAGCCUAGGUCGGAUUAGCUAGUUGGUGAGGUAAUGGCUCACCAAGGCGACGAUCCGUAACUGGUCUGAGAGGAUGAUCAGUCACACUGGAACUGAGACACGGUCCAGACUCCUACGGGAGGCAGCAGUGGGGAAUAUUGGACAAUGGGCGAAAGCCUGAUCCAGCCAUGCCGCGUGUGUGAAGAAGGUCUUCGGAUUGUAAAGCACUUUAAGUUGGGAGGAAGGGCAGUAAGUUAAUACCUUGCUGUUUUGACGUUACCGACAGAAUAAGCACCGGCUAACUCUGUGCCAGCAGCCGCGGUAAUACAGAGGGUGCAAGCGUUAAUCGGAAUUACUGGGCGUAAAGCGCGCGUAGGUGGUUCGUUAAGUUGGAUGUGAAAGCCCCGGGCUCAACCUGGGAACUGCAUCCAAAACUGGCGAGCUAGA
rnacentral:rRNA from 1 species